rnacentral:rRNA from 1 species
GCCUUAGGGUUGUAAAGUUCUUUCGGUAUUGAGGAAGGUUGAUGUGUUAAUAGCACAUCAAAUUGACGUUAAAUACAGAAGAAGCACCGGCUAACUCCGUGCCAGCAGCCGCGGUAAUACGGAGGGUGCGAGCGUUAAUCGGAAUAACUGGGCGUAAAGGGCACGCAGGCGGUUAUUUAAGUGAGGUGUGAAAGCCCCGGGCUUAACCUGGGAAUUGCAUUUCAGACUGGGUAACUAGAGUACUUUAGGGAGGGGUAGAAUUCCACGUGUAGCGGUGAAAUGCGUAGAGAUGUGGAGGAAUACCGAAGGCGAAGGCAGCCCCUUGGGGAUGUACUGACGCUCAUGUGCGAAAGCGUGGGGAGCAAACAGGAUUAGAUACCCUGGUAGUCCACGCUGUAAACGCUGUCGAUUUGGGGGUUGGGGUUUAACUCUGGCGCCCGUAGCUAACGUGAUAAAUCGACCGCCUGGGGAGUACGGCCGCAAGGUUA